rnacentral:rRNA from 1 species
AAAACUUUACAAUGCGGGAAACCGUGAUAAGGGAACUCCGAGUGCCCGUAAAAUCGGGCUGUCCAUCUGUUUAAAUAACAGGUGAAGAAAGGGCCGGGCAAGACCGGUGCCAGCCGCCGCGGUAAUACCGGCGGCUCGAGUGGUGGCCACUAUUACUGGGCUUAAAGCGUUCGUAGCUGGUCUGUUAAGUCUCUGGGGAAAUCUACUGGCUUAACCAAUAGGCGUCUCAGGGAUACUGGCAGACUAGGGACCGGGAGAGGUGAGAGGUACUCCAGGGGUAGGAGUGAAAUCCUGUAAUCCUUGGGGGACCACCUGUGGCGAAGGCGUCUCACCAGAACGGCUCCGACAGUGAGGGACGAAAGCUGGGGGAGCAAACCGGAUUAGA